GCCCACACUCAGACCGCAUGGGGCCUAGCAAAAUGGCGGCUGCCGACCACGCUACUGGACCAGCCCUUCCACAGACGCCUGGGAGAAGCUGGAGCAGCGCACAGCCCCUUACUCAUGACAGGGUGGUGGAGCCAGCAUAGGUCGUGUGCCGGAACUGGCUAAUCCUCCAGGAGAUCCCCUCCAGGACAUCAACUACAUCGCAGGAAGGCCAUCUGCCACUGGCGGAUUACGACCACCAGGACCUUCCACAGCGCUCACAACGGGAGAGAACCGGCCCCGCAGAUAGUCUGUGACCAAAGGAUGUCGACCUCACACAGAGCUUGGAGCUGGGGAAAAGCCCCCACCACACGCAACCCUUCUUCGCCCCCUCAAAAUCCAUGGAUGCCUGCUCUUACUAUGCCCAGCAGAGGAAUCUGCUGAUACAGGGUCCCAAGAAACUUGGUUUGCAGGGAUGACAUACAGACUGAGCCACUAAAGCUGACUUGAACUCUACCAUUAUUUCAUUGCACUUAUGUAGACCAUUUCUUGCUCAGCCUCCUGGAGACACACUGCUCACAAUCUGCCCUGUCGGUAAACUAGCACCACAACCAUAACCCCCACAAGUUAAUCUAUGUAGGCUGAACAUGGC